rnacentral:rRNA from 1 species
CAAAGGUAGCAUAAUCAUUAGGGGUUUAAUUGGAACCUGGUAUGAAGGGUUGGACAAAGGAGAAACUGUCUCUAUAGUAUAAUUUGAAAUUUACUUUUAAGUGAAAAGGCUUAAAUGAAUCAAAGGGACGAUAAGACCCUAUAAAGCUUUAUAAGUAAUUGGAAUUUAGUUGAUUUAUAUAUAAAAGUUAAGUUUAAUUAUUUUAUUUCAUUGGGGUGAUGUGAGUAUAAUUAGUAUUAACUGCUUAUAGAAGAUACUAGUAAAUAAAAGAAUUAUAAGCAAUGAUCCUUUUUAAAGAUUAGAAGAACAAGUUACUUUAGGGAUAACAGCGUUAUUUCUUUUGAGAGUUCAUAUCGAAAAAGAAGAUUGCGACCUCGAUGUUGAAUUAAAAUAUCUACAUAAUGCAGUCGUUAUGUGAGAGGGUCUGUUCGACCUUUAAAUUUUUACAUGAUUUGAGUUCA